rnacentral:rRNA from 1 species
AGACGUAGGGGGCAAGCGUUGUUCGGAAUUACUGGGCGUAAAGCGCAUGUAGGCGGACAUUUAAGUCAGGGGUGAAAUCCCGGGGCUCAACCUCGGAACUGCCUUUGAUACUGGGUGUCUAGAGUGUGGAAGAGGUAAGUGGAAUUCCGAGUGUAGAGGUGAAAUUCGUAGAUAUUCGGAGGAACACCAGUGGCGAAGGCGACUUACUGGACUGAAACUGACGCUGAGGCUCGAAAGCGUGGGGAUC